GUAGGUGGCAAGCGUUGUCCGGAAUUAUUGGGCGUAAAGCGCGCGCAGGCGGUUUUUAAGUCUGAUGUGAAAGCCCACGGGCUCAACCGUGGAGGGUCAUUGGAAACUGGAGAACUUGAGUACAGAAGAGGAAAGCGGAAUUCCACGUGUAGCGGUGAAAUGCGUAGAGAUGUGGAGGAACACCAGUGGCGAAGGCGGCUUUCUGGUCUGUAACUGACGCUGAGGCGCGAAAGCGUGGGGAGCAAACAGGAUUAGAUACCCUGGUAGUCCACGCCGUAAACGAUGAGUGCUAAGUGUUAGGGGGUCUCCGCCCCUUAGUGCUGCAGCUAACGCAUUAAGCACUCCGCCUGGGGAGUACGGCCGCAAGGCUG
rnacentral:rRNA from 1 species